GAUGAACGCUAGCGAUAGGCUUAACACAUGCAAGUCGAGGGGCAGCAUGGUCUUAGCUUGCUAAGACUGAUGGCGACCGGCGCACGGGUGCGUAACGCGUAUGCAACUUGCCUCACAGAGGGGGAUAACCCGUCGAAAGACGGACUAAUACCGCGUACACUUGGGAUAGGGCAUCCUGACCCAAGGAAAUGAAAUUCGCUGUGAGAUAGGCAUGCGUCCCAUUAGCUAGUUGGUGAGGUAACGGCUCACCAAGGCGACGAUGGGUAGGGGAACUGAGAGGUUGAACCCCCACACUGGUACUGAGACACGGACCAGACUCCUACGGAAGGCAGCAGUGAGGAAUAUUGGUCAAUGGGCGAGAGCCUGAACCAGCCAAGUCGCGUGAAGGAUGACUGUCUUAUGGAUUGUAAACUUCUUUUAUACGGGAAUAACAAGAGCCACGUGUGGCUCCCUGCAUGUACCGUAUGAAUAAGCAUCGGCUAACUCCGUG
rnacentral:rRNA from 1 species